rnacentral:rRNA from 1 species
UACGGGGGGGGCAAGCGUUGUUCGGAAUUACUGGGCGUAAAGGGCUCGUAGGCGGCCAACUAAGUCGGAUGUGAAAUCCCCAGGCUCAACUUGGGAACUGCAUCCGAUACUGGAUGGCUUGAAUCCGGGAGAGGGAUGCAGAAUUCCAGGUGUAGCGGUGAAAUGCGUAGAUAUCAGGAGGAAUACCAGUGGCGAAGGCGGCUUUCUGGGCCUACCCUGACGCUGAGGAGCGAAAGCGUGGGGAGCAAACCGG